GGGACUGGCGGUGAAAGAUGGAGGAGGAAGAGGAGGACGAGUAGGUAUGAUUUUGCCAAACACAGCUGCAUCGCUUAAGAAUGCGGAGUUUCAUUCUAUAUAGGCCAAUCGUGAGGUGCAAAACCAAAGCAUGUUGCGGCCCCAAACAUCAUCAUGAAAACUCUGAAGCGGAACUUCUUGUUCUUGGCAAAAUCACAGUCAGUGGCAGGUUUCACUCUACAGAGGAAGAAUGAUGCCGUCAACAAAUAA